rnacentral:ribozyme from 1 species
AAAAGGAAAGAAAAAAGAAAAAAAAAAAAAAAAAGAUAGGGAAGAAAUGAUGAUAAAA